GUGGGGGGGAGCGGGGGGGAGGUAGGAGCUGUGAAGGGAUUUAUAAAGUAAAGAGGCAGAUGGAAACAGAUUAGAAAAAUGGCCAUACCUGAGAAGGGAAAGGUUGUUUCCAGCUCAGCAACAGCAAGUGGAGUGAGAUGGAAAACAGGAGGCCAAAGGAAGUAAGGUCAAAGGACACAAUAGCUAAAUUAGAAAGUAGGUAGCACAUCAAAGGAAGACUUUGAUGUGACCUAUUAAUAGAAAAGGGAAAAUCCCAAAGAAAUUGUUACCUGGCUAAGAAUAGAGAAGAAGUGAAGGGAAAUCCUUGUUGACAAGGCUACAUGAAACAGAAGGAAAAGGUGAAGAUGUACAGAGGCGGCAUUCAACGGCAAGACUCGGACAACAUGGAACAAAUGAACAUUUCACAUUUAAUGAUAUUUAUGAAACAUGAUGAAAUGAAUUGUGAUUUGAUUUAGCACUA